AGGAUGUGCUGGGCAGGCGAAGAGAACAAAGUCUGGCAGAGCAAGUGUUCCUCACUGGGUUCUGGCCGCGCCUGGACAUCAAAACGAUGUCUAAACAUUUUUAUAUCGGAAGUUCCCAGUCAAUAAAUUCUAGCACGCUUCCUAAGAAGGGAUACCAGCCGGCAGCCAGGGAGAUGGCUUGCUUGGUGGUUAAGACGGCCAGAGUUGAGUCUCCAGUGUCCACAUCAGAUGAUUUACAAGCCAGUAUCUCCAGUUCCACGGACUCCCUGCCCUCUUACCACCCACGUUGUGGCUCAGUACUUUCUCUGACUCCAGUUCCGUGGGAUCCAGCGUCCUCUUCUGGCCUCUUCAGUGCCCCACCCCCACCCCACCAAACCGGAACCACCACCACCCGCAGUCUCAGAACUUCAAAGAGAACUGUUACAAUUUCUCUCCCAUCACUGCUUGGGAAGCCAACUGCGGAACAGGAGGCAACAAUCUAUUUUGCCUAAGUUCUUUUCCUAUAUAUGUGUGCUCUCAGCAUCUGCUCCAGCUGCUGUGUCUUCUGCUUGCUACACUGUGUCCCUGCCAUGAUGGUUGU
rnacentral:lncRNA from 1 species